AUGUGCAGGGUGAAUGGAGUGACGCAUAGAACCCAGUUUCAGGGGGUAGUUUGGGACUUGGACCCAGGUCCCAGGGAGAGAGUCCAAGGAGCCCUUCUCUGGUCUUCCAAGGCGCCGCUCUCCCCAAGUUCCAGAUGGAAGGCGUGCCCAUGGCAACCGCUAGGUGGUGCCCGUACACCACCAGCCAGGUCUUUGUUUGCCAAAAGUAGAUCAGGCCCAGAGCUGGACAGAACUGCCCCGGGAUCAGGAGAGCAAAUCCUCUCUGUCUUUAGGUCCUGGCUCCCUGGCCAGGCAUCCUGGGCCCAUUUGACUCCCGGGCUCAGGAAGGAGCUGGCUGAGCUGCAGCGAACUGGAAAUACAGACUGGACACUCGUUCUUGCUGCAGGGGGCUGGAGCUUCUUAUCUGCUUCACUGGAUUUGGACAAUCCUGUCUCCCUCAUGGGAUUUGUGUGGUCUUGAACCUGGAACUUCACCCCCACUGGGAGCCUCAGCUUCUCCAGCUUUAAGGAGUCAGGUGUGUGAAAACGCCCCAGCUCUGGAGUCAGACUCCAGGCGUUUGAAUGCUGGCUCCUAUAACCUGCUGUGUGAGAUCUGGGGCCAUCGAGCGCGUCUCUCUCAGCCUCAGUUUCCCCAGUUGUGCAAUGAGGAUCCCUACUGGGUGGUGGUGAAGGCUCCAUGAGUUCACGCACAAGAAAACCUUGGGACAGUGGCUGAUAGUGGCGUCAGCAAGCCAGCAUGCACCCCACCCUUUCCUUCCAAGAAGAUUGCCUCCUAAAUCUAUGGUUGGUAACCUUCACCCCUCCCUCUUUGACCCACCUCCUAACCCAGGCCACCUGGUGUCUUGCUACACAGCUGGUCUCCCUGCCCGCACCACAGCCAGAGGCGUCUUUGGAAACCCAAUCCUGACCCCUGCUCAGAAUCUGCCAUGGCUCUCCAGUGCCCCCAGGAGAAAACCAAGUGCUGUACCACAGCCACAGCCUGACCACUCGCUGCCUGUAUUUUCUUUCUCUUUCUUGCUUUCUCUUUUUUUUUUUUUUAAAGACAGGGUCUUGCUCUGGCCCCAGGCUGGAGUGCAGUGGCGCCGUCAUAGCUCACUGCAGCCUCAACCUCCUGGGCUCAAGUGAUCCUCCCACCUCAGCCUCCUGAGUAGCUGAGACUACAGGCACAUGCCACCACACCUGGGUAAAUUUUUUAAUUUUUUUUUUUUUAGAGAUAGGGUCUCACUCAUUGCCCAGGCUGGUCUUAAACUCCUGGGCUCAAGCCAUCCUCUCACCUCAGCUUCCCAAAAUGCUGGGACUACAGGUAUGCACCACCGCGCCCAGCCUCCUUUCUGGUUUCCUAAUAAAGCCUUUUGUUCACCUCCUUCAAACACUUCCCCGCACUCUUCAGGUCUCAGCUCAAACAGGGCAGGCCCGGUCCCCUUGGUCCUCUCUGUCCUCCCUCUCCUGGUUCCCUGUACCUCUCCAAAAGCCCCCAUCACCGAAAGAAGUAAAGAUGUGGGGCCG
rnacentral:lncRNA from 10 species